UCCACACUCCAGAACAGACUGAUGAGCGUGCUCACUUCCCCUGCUCUUACACAGCUCAGGACCCAAACUCAGGGAAUGGUGUGUUUUAAUUCGGGUUUCUAUUGCCGCGAAGAGACAACAUGACCACGGCAACUAUUGUAGAGAAAAACAUUUAACUGAGGUGGCGGCUUACAGUUUCAGAGGUUUAGUCCAUUAUCAUCACAGUGGAGAGCAUGGCGGCUGCAAGUAUGGUGACGUGCAGGCAGACAUGCCUUCUGGAGAAGUAGCCGAGAGUCCUACAUCUUGCAGUCUCUCUGCCCAGGUCACAAGCAAUCAACAGAAUUGCAUAUAACUGGUUGAGAGAGGCGUGGCUGAAUACUUGGGUGAGGUUUUCCUCCACCUGAUCCCCACUAUAUCCAGGUCCUCCCUCCACUCCUUGUGUAAGUGAAGUAAACAGUAAACAGGCCCAGCUGUGAUGAGCUUGUGUGCACAGUCUCGGGAGUGCUGAAGAUGGUGGCUGUUUGGUUUGGGGGAAUCGUCCUAUACAUCAGACGCACAGCUUGGAACCAUGGGUCCAGGGAACACUUAAGACUGUAGGUAACCCUCAGGAGUCAGGAAAGAGGCAUGAAGUCUCCCCUUAGAGCUUCCAAAAAGACCAGCCCUGCCACCCCUGGGCUGGAUGUCUGGCCUUCAGAAUGGUGAAAGGCUGCUGUGUGGUUUAACAUCCUGGGUUCGUGACACUUUGGUACGGAAGCCACUGGAAACAUAGGCUGUUUCAAAGGGAUUUUUAAAACCCAACUUACACUGAAUGGCUAGUCCUGCCAGUUAGUUUUCUAAACACUAAGGCCCUAACAGGAAGAUCUUAAGGGUAAAGUGAUUCAUUUGGGCUCAUAGCUCCAAAGAACCCAGUGGGUGGUCACUUGCCUCCAUGUGUGUGGGCCUGUUGGGAGGUGGGAAAUGAUGACAACAGGGGAGUGUGGAGGAAGAGCAUCUUCGGGGCCGACAGAAAGGAAACACAGGAAGAAGCCAAGGUAAGAAAGUCCCAGGGACCUACUUUCUCCAGCAGCUAGGCCCUGCAGUCUACCCUAGGCCACCUUUCAAUGU
rnacentral:lncRNA from 1 species